UACGAAGGGGGCUAGCGUUGCUCGGAAUUACUGGGCGUAAAGCGCACGUAGGCGGUCUUUUAAGUCGGGGGUGAAAUCCUGGAGCUCAACUCCAGAACUGCCUUUGAUACUGAGGAUCUUGAGUUCGGGAGAGGUGAGUGGAACUGCGAGUGUAGAGGUGAAAUUCGUAGAUAUUCGCAAGAACACCAGUGGCGAAGGCGGCUCACUGGCCCGAUACUGACGCUGAGGCACGAAAGCGUGGGGAGCAAACAGG
rnacentral:rRNA from 1 species